UCUCGCUUCAAACCCCUUCGUUUCUCUUGCUUCAAACCCUUUCAUUUAUUAAUCGAUUAAUCUACAACCCUUCUCUUCAAGUAUUUGAUUCAAGUAUUCGUAGAUCGUUGAUUCACAUAUCAUAAUGUGCCAUCUCGAGUUCGUGUUCGAGUUCGCAGGUCUUUCUUCAUGGCUACGGCAGACUGAAAACAAGAUUGAUUGUCCAGGGUUGGAUGAAGUGGAAAAUCUGAUGCUGAAGCAAGUCACUUCAUUAUUGACCUGAGUACCACAAAGGCUAGCCCAACCAGAACCAACAAAAGGUCUUUCAAAGCUUGCUCAAAAGCAUUAGUUUUUUAAGAGUCGUCUAAGGAAGAGAGCUGUAGAAGAAGGGGUUCAAGUUCUCCUGCACGAUCAUGGUUGCAGCGAACUUAUUUAAUCCAUCGUCGUGAACCUUUGGAUUAUGGUCGUGAUGGAGAAAUAAACGGUUGGAGUCACCCACUUGAUUUCCUUCACAGCAAUGCUGACAAUGACACUAGUGCCACGAGAUCGUAGGACCAAGGCAACAUGAAUAGCGCUGAAAAGUUUAAUGUGGGUGGUUUUGAUAAUGCUUUGGAAUGCUUGGAGCAUAAACAGCUUGCUGAGAACCACACAAUUUUCCCAAAAAAGUGAUAUUUGGCAGAAAUGUCUUUUAAAGAAAAGGAGCCCAAUUACGGACACAUUUGAAAGCAUGAGAGGCAGAUUGUGUCAUCUGCAAUUGCAGUUUUUGAAAUCAUAUCUUUUUGCUUGUCUUGUUGAAUUUGUUAUUUGAUAGGAUUGCAAUA